AUGAAGUCCCUUCUGAUUCUCUUCCAACUUGACAUCUGUCACUGACGGACAUCUCUGCUCAUAUUGGCUAUGUCCUUUCCUCAGUUUGCAUCUCCUUGUCAUGGGAUAUGGAAGGGGUGAGAAGUUCUGCUUGGAGAGAGGCUGGGAGGCUGCAGAGGGCUGUUUUGGUUUUUCACUAAGAGAUCCACCCUGUGUUGUGAGGCUCCUUGUAGGACAGUGAAGGUGAACCUCUGCUCUCAAGACAUGUCCUGCUGUGACCAGUGCCUGCCCUGCCAGCCCUGUGGCCCGACCCCGCUGGCCAACA